CAACCAUUUUCCAAACCUCAUUACCAAGAUCAUUACAGAAGAAAUCUGUAAUUUUAGGCUGAGGCAUUAAUGAGUAUAAACAGAUUAAGGAGAAAAGAAAUCUCUACAGUUUUCAUGGCAGGCCAAUUGAUUGCUACAGAGCAGUGAUGGAAGACAGUGCUGGUGUACAGUCAGAAAACAGCUGAGUGCAGGAAACAGCCAGCACCACAAUGAAGAUUGCCAAAGAACUAAUUGCUGUCACAGAAUAAUACCCCUACCAUGUUCCACAGGCCAAACAGGAAGGGACAGUUUAAUAAAAACUGCAGUUCCAUAUAACUACAUUCCUGAAGACUUUUCAGAUUGUAUCAAUACAUA
rnacentral:lncRNA from 1 species